rnacentral:tRNA from 1 species
GCAUCCAUGGCUAAAUGGUGAAAGCGCCCACCAACCUAGAAAGGAAAAAUGGGUCAAAAAGUAGGUUCGAUUCCUGCCGGAUGCA